AACCCGCCCCACCCACUUCCCACGACUCCCUCCCCUACCCUCUCCCGAUCCCCUCUGCACACUCCUCCUCACGGCAUCGCGUCGCCGCCGAAGAACUUCUCCCGAUCCACCGCCGCCGCCCUGCAUCCCACCGGCGCGCCGCCCUGCGUCCCGCAACCCGCCGCCGCGCCGUCCCCCGUCCCGCCAGCGCAACCAUGCCCCCAAGCUUUGCCUGCAUCCCGUGCUCAAGCCCGCCCGUGUACUCUGUUCGGGCAACGUGAAGUCGAGCGACGUGUACGCGAAGGUGCUGGUGUACCUGAGCGUGGUGUGCUCGCGGGAGGCGCGGGAGCUCCGCGCGGAGGGCGCUGCAGAGGGCCACGGCUUCGUGCUCAGCCUCCGGGAGGGGCAGUAGGUGGCGAACGACUUCAAGGGCGUCACCAUGUCGUGGUCGACGGUGGCGGAGGAGAAGACGACGUGGCGGGCAUCGGCGCGGUGCUGCCGCCUCAGGUUCUACGAGCGGCACCGCCAGCUCGUCGUCGAUGAGUACCUGCCGUACGUCCGCCGCGCCGGGCAUGAGGUCACGUUCCGCAACCGUCCUUGCGGGCUCUACUCCAACAAGAAGGAGCUCCGCUACCAGCCUACCACUCUAGGAGGGACGAGGUGUGGAGCAGUCCAACUUCCCCUGUAUACUCACAUGAUCACUGGACACUCUGUUUCUUAGAGAAGAUGCUGCAACAUGAUUCAGCAAAUUGCUUUUGGAUGUGUUAUUGUUACUGAAAUUUUGUGUGGGUGGACGUCUGGCUGCAUGUAUCCCUGCGUGUGUGUUUUUUACUUCCGCGCAUUUUCUUCAGGGUAGUGGAGAGCACCCUCUCCCUGACUAGAUCUGCAUCACCACCCUGAGUUCUCCCAACGCAGCCCGGAGCCGUUCAACUAUGCAGCCCUGGGCCGUUCAACGAUGGAGUCGACGGCCGUUCAUGAACACAGCACCCCGGAUCCUGCUCCCCACCAUCCAGUUCAACUUCUGCUGAAUCCGGUGUUGAUCCUGGUGCUUGUCGCCAUUUACGAGGAAGAUAGUCGGUCUUUGAGCUGGUGAUGAUCUUGCUGUUGCUGGGAUGCUAUUCAACACGAGGGUGUGGUCUCCCUUGAGGUGCAACGUCGUGAUAUAUAUACAUUGCUGCCACUUUUGGAUUUAUUGUUGAGACGGUCUCUCAAGUGACGACAAGGACACACCACUCUGCCUCCUCUGUUUCCGGUGACGACACACCGCUGUUAUGGUCGAUUAGCCUUUUGGGUUUAGAUGUACGAGGUGUAUGAUGAAGAUGAGACAGUGUAGUGAAGUCCAUUUGGACAUGUGAAAUUCAGUGAGGCAUAAGAAAGGAAUAAGAUCUAGCAGCGGAUGUUGCCGACCUCGA